UGAGGAAUAUUGGUCAAUGGGCGAGAGCCUGAACCAGCCAAGUAGCGUGAAGGAUGAAGGUCCUACGGAUUGUAAACUUCUUUUAUACGGGAAUAAAGUAUCCUACGUGUAGGAUUUUGUAUGUACCGUAUGAAUAAGCAUCGGCUAACUCCGUGCCAGCAGCCGCGGUAAUACGGAGGAUGCGAGCGUUAUCCGGAUUUAUUGGGUUUAAAGGGAGCGCAGACGGGAGAUUAAGUCAGUUGUGAAAGUUUGCGGCUCAACCGUAAAAUUGCAGUUGAUACUGGUUUCCUUGAGUGCAGUUGAGGCAGGCGGAAUUCGUGGUGUAGCGGUGAAAUGCUUAGAUAUCACGAAGAACCCCGAUUGCGAAGGCAGCUUGCUAAACUGUAACUGACGUUCAUGCUCGAAAGUGUGGGUAUCAAACAGGAUUAGAUACCCUGGUAGUCCACACGGUAAACGAUGGAUACUCGCUGUUGGCGAUAUACUGUCAGCGGCCAAGCGAAAGUAUUAAGUAUCCCACCUGGGGAGUACGCCGGCAACGGUGAAACUCAAAGGAAUUGACGGGGGCCCGCACAAGCGGAGGAACAUGUGGUUUAAUUCGAUGAUACGCGAGGAACCUUACCCGGGCUUAAAUUGCAGACGAAUUACGAGGAAACUUGUAAGCCGCAAGGCGUCUGUGAAGGUGCUGCAUGGUUGUCGUCAGCUCGUGCCGUGAGGUGUCGGCUUAAGUGCCAUAACGAGCGCAACCCUCGUGGUCAGUUACUAACAGGUUAAGCUGAGGACUCUGGCCAGACUGCCAUCGUAAGAUGUGAGGAAGGUGGGGAUGACGUCAAAUCAGCACGGCCCUUACGUCCGGGGCUACACACGUGUUACAAUGGGAGGUACAGAAGGCAGCUACCCGGCGACGGGAUGCCAAUCCCCAAAACCUCUCUCAGUUCGGACUGGAGUCUGCAACCCGACUCCACGAAGCUGGAUUCGCUAGUAAUCGCGCAUCAGCCACGGCGCGGUGAAUACGUUCCC
rnacentral:rRNA from 1 species